rnacentral:rRNA from 1 species
AACGAACGCUGGCGGCAGGCUUAACACAUGCAAGUCGAGCGCCCCGCAAGGGGAGCGGCAGACGGGUGAGUAACGCGUGGGAACGUACCUUUUGCUACGGAAUAACUCAGGGAAACUUGUGCUAAUACCGUAUGUGCCCUUCGGGGGAAAGAUUUAUCGGCAAAGGAUCGGCCCGCGUUGGAUUAGCUAGUUGGUGAGGUAAAGGCUCACCAAGGCGACGAUCCAUAGCUGGUCUGAGAGGAUGAUCAGCCACACUGGGACUGAGACACGGCCCAGACUCCUACGGGAGGCAGCAGUGGGGAAUAUUGGACAAUGGGCGCAAGCCUGAUCCAGCCAUGCCGCGUGAGUGAUGAAGGCCCUAGGGUUGUAAAGCUCUU